rnacentral:rRNA from 1 species
UACGUAGGAGACGAGCGUUGUCCGGAUUUACUGGGCGUAAAGGGUGCGCAGGCGGCCUCGCGCGUCGCGAGUGAAAUCUCCCGGCUCAACUGGGAGGGUGGUCGCGAGACGGCGGGGCUUGAGGCUCGGUGAGGGGCGUGGAAUUCCGGGUGGAGCGGUGAAAUGCGUAGAUAUCUGGAGGAACACCGGUGGCGAAGGCGGCAUCCUGGACCGAGAUUGACGCUGAUGCGCGAAAGCCAGGGGAGCAAACGGG